GCGCGGCCGCGCGGCUGGAGCACCGCGGGGCGCUGUGGCCGCUGCUCGAGCGCGCGUUCGCCACGCGCGAUGCGCA
rnacentral:tRNA from 1 species